AUAUCCACUGUGGAAUUCGCCCUUCUUGGUCAUUUAGAGGAAGUAAAAGUCGUAACAAGGUUUCCGUAGGUGAACCUGCGGAAGGAUCAUUAUUGUAUAACAGAGGUGCCGGGGCUGUCGCCGACUUUUGUGCACGCCCCGGUGCUCUCUCACAAUCCAUCUCACCCCCUUUGUGCAUCACCGCGUGGGCGCUCUCCUUUUGGUUCAUUCUGAAAAGGGGGCGUUUGCGUUUUUAUACAGACCACCGCAUGUGUAGAAUGUCUUACUAUUUGCGAUAACACGCAAUCAAUACAACUUUCAACAACGGAUCUCUUGGCUCUCGCAUCGAUGAAGAACGCAGCGAAAUGCGAUACGUAAUGUGAAUUGCAGAAUUCAGUGAAUCAUCGAAUCUUUGAACGCACCUUGCGCCCCUUGGAAUUCCGAGGGGCACACCCGUUUGAGUGUCGUGAACAUCCUUCAACCUUUCUUGGUUUCUUGACCGGGGAAGGCUUGGACUUUGGGGGUUUUUCAUUGCUGGCCUCCCUUGAAGCCAGCUCCUCCUAAACGGAUUAGUGGGGUCUGCUUUGCCGAUCCUUGACGUGAUAAGAUGUUUCUACGUCUUGGGUUUCGCACUGUCGCUUCAGACCCCGCUUCAAACAGUCUUGCAUCUAAGACAGAGUUUUAUAAACCUUGACCUCAAAUCGGGUGAGACUACCCGCUGAACUUAAGCAUAUCAAUAAGCGGAGGAAAAGAAACUAACAAGGAUUCCCCUAGUAACUGCGAGUGGAGCGGGAAAAGCUCAAAUUUAAAAUCUGGUGGCUCUUCCGCCAUCCGAGUUGUAAUUUAGAGAAGCGUCUUCCGCGCUGGACCGUGUACAAGUCUCCUGAAGGGCGAAUUCCACAU
rnacentral:rRNA from 1 species